rnacentral:misc_RNA from 1 species
CCGAGUGAGGGCCUCCGGGCCCGACCUCCAACCCUUUUGUGAACCUACCUCGUUGCUUCGGGGGCGACCCUGCCGUUCGCGCGGCGUGGGGCUCCCGGAGACCAUUUAAACACUGCGUAAUUUUGCGUCGGAGUCUUGAUUAAAUCAAACA